rnacentral:lncRNA from 1 species
UGGCUGUUAGAGGAGAUGUGAACCAUGACAUGUAGUUCAAUCUACCUAAUAGACCACGAACCUCUUUCUGUUUUCGGUUCAGGCACUUUCUUGUAUUUUUUCUAUAUUUUUUUUUUUUUAGCAGGAUCGACCUCGAUUCCUCCUUCACUUACAAUGAACCCCAGCAUCUUACCGGACCGUACUUUGAUAGUGCACUGAUC